rnacentral:ncRNA from 1 species
CAUUAAACAUUGUGACAUCGGGGGUUUCUUAUAGUAAUAUAAGAUUAGUAGUAGGCUAUAUGCUGGAACUUACUAUAAUUUAUAGUGACAAUCAGCAGGGAAGUUUAAGUCUUUAUAAACACCCUCAACGACUAAACGCCUACAUCCAGAAGAAUAUUCUUCUCUCGAAUACUGGAUGAAGAUAUAGUCUAAACCUUAAGGAUUCUUAAGG